rnacentral:rRNA from 1 species
CACGUAGGGCGCGAGCGUUGUCCGGAAUUAUUGGGCGUAAAGAGCUCGUAGGCGGUUUGUCGCGUCUGCCGUGAAAGUCCGGGGCUCAACUCCGGAUCUGCGGUGGGUACGGGCAGACUAGAGUGGAUGUAGGGGAGACUGGAAUUCCUGGUGUAGCGGUGAAAUGCGCAGAUAUCAGGAAGAACACCCGUGGCUAAGGCGGCUCUCUAGUACGGUACUGACGCUGAGACGCGAAAGCGUGGGGAGCGAACAGG